GAUGAACGCUGGCGGCGUGCCUAACACAUGCAAGUCGAGCGAUUAUCUUCGGAGAAGAGCGGCGGACGGGUGAGUAACGCGUGGGUAACCUGCCCUGUACACACGGAUAACGUACCGAAAGGUAUGCUAAUACGAGAUAAUAUACUUUUAUCGCAUGGUAGAAGUAUCAAAGCUUUUGCGGUACAGGAUGGAAUCGCGUCUGAUUCGCUAGUUGGUAAGGUAACGGCUUACCAAGGCGACGAUCGGUAGCCGACCUGAGAGGGUGAUCGGCCACAUUGGAACUGAGACGCGGUCCAAACUCCUACGGGAGGCAGCGGUGGGGAAUAUUGCACAAUGGGCGAAAGCCUGAUGCAGCAACGCCGCGUGAGCGAUGAAGGCCUUCGGGUCGUAAAGCUCUGUCAUCAAGGAAGGUAAUGACGGUACUUGAGGAGGAAGCCCCGGCUAACUACGUGCCAGCCGCCGCUGUAA
rnacentral:rRNA from 1 species